UACAGAGGGAGCUAGCGUUGUUCGGAAUUACUGGGCGUAAAGCGCACGUAGGCGGCUUUGUAAGUCAGAGGUGAAAGCCUGGAGCUCAACUCCAGAACUGCCUUUGAGACUGCAUCGCUUGAAUCCAGGAGAGGUGAGUGGAAUUCCGAGUGUAGAGGUGAAAUUCGUAGAUAUUCGGAAGAACACCAGUGGCGAAGGCGGCUCACUGGACUGGUAUUGACGCUGAGGUGCGAAAGCGUGGGGAGCAAACAGG
rnacentral:rRNA from 1 species